GACAGAGGUGCCGAGCGUUAGGCGGAAUCACUGGGCUUAAAGCGUGUGUAGGCGGGCGAUCAAGUACCUUGUGAAAUCCCACGGCUCAACCGUGGAACCGCUGGGUAUACUGGUUGUCUUGAGCCAGCUAGGGGCUACCGGAACAAAUGGUGGAGCGGUGAAAUGCGUAGAUAUCAUUUGGAACGCCAAUGGUGAAAACAGGUAGCUGGGGCUGUGCUGACACUGAGACACGAAAGCCAGGGAGCAAACGGG
rnacentral:rRNA from 1 species